rnacentral:rRNA from 1 species
AUGCCCAAGCGCACCAUGGGAGGGAGGGCCGACGCCAUGGCGCACGAAGCAUCCAAGCACCGUGCGAAGCUGCACAUGGAGAAACCCCUCCCCGCCGGCGAGGGGUCCAGCCGGCAGCAGGGCGGCCGUGAUGUCGUCGACCACGUCCAGGCUCCGGUGCAGGUGUCACCUACGUCGGAGCAGGUAGCUCCAUUUAUGUGGGCCCCGGUAGCUGCUCUGGCUCCUCAGACGGAGCAGGUGUCUCCUCUGCCGCGGGUGACGCCUCCGGUGCCCGAGCCAGUGGUCGCCGGCGACGUCAACAACGACGACAUUAGUAGCUCCUCUGGCUUCUCUGCCGGAGCAGGUGGUGGCUCCUCAGCCUCAGCCGGGUGUUCGUCUGCCGCGGUUGUUGCCUCCCCUGCCCCCACCUGUGGUCGUCGCCGACGAGAACGAAGAAGAGGUCCUAGGUGA